rnacentral:lncRNA from 1 species
UUAUAUGCCAACCCCAGGCUUACAAUAGGAAUAGAAGGUAAAAGGUGGGACCUGGCUGGCAGCCUCUGGAGUCGGCCAAGGGGCCCACCAUCUGGAUAAGUCUUGUCGUAACUGGGGGCCUCCGGCUGCUGGGUCCCGCCUGGAGCCGGGGCCCACCGACCGAGCCUCACCAUUGGUGUGUGCUUGUUACGAUGUGGCGUGUGCCGUGUUAGGCGCAUUGCCUUGCACAGUCGACUUCGGUCAUCGUACUACCGGUUGCACUCUUGCCCACACCGGGGCAUGUAAUAAAGUGGAUGGGGCGUGCUCAUCACUGUGGUGUCUCGGCUAGUCGUAGUUGGCAAUGGUGAGUGAUACGUCCCCUCCAGAGUAGUCUUCGCG